GGCUUUUUGAUAAUAAUUUAAGGUCUGGCCUGCCCAAUGAUAAGUUAAAUGGCCGCGGUAUUUUGACCGUGCAAAGGUAGCAUAAUCAUUAGUUUCUUGAUUGGAAGCUUGUAUGAAGGGUUUGAUGAAAAAAGAGUUGUCUCUAUUUUAAUUUUUUAGAAAUUUAUUUUUAAGUUAAAAAGCUUAAAUUUGUAUUAAAGACGAGAAGACCCUAUAGAGUUUUAAAUUUUUAUUUAAUUAUUAUGUUUUGGGAUUAAAUUUUAAUGAUUUUAUGAAUUUUUUUGGUUGGGGUGAUAUUAAAAUUGGAUAAACUUUUUUAUGUUGUGUUUCAUUGAUUUAUGAAUUUUUGAUCCUUUUUGUAGAUUAGUAGAUAAAAUUACCUUAGGGAUAACAGCGUAAUUUUUUUUAGAGUUCUUAUCGAAAGAAAAGAUUGCGACCUCGAUGUUGGAUUAAAAUUAAUUAUUGGUGUAGAAGCUGAUACUGUUUAGGUCUGUUCGACCUUUAAAUUUUUACAUGAUCUGAGUUUAAACCGGUGUAAG
rnacentral:rRNA from 1 species